GCUGAUAAUAGAAUCAAAGGAAAUGGCUUGAGAAACAUGUUAGUUGAUUAAACAUUAAGUGGUAUUGUGUUUAGAUGCUUUCAUGUUUCAUAGAAACAACUAACCAUUCAAAUAGGGAAGCGUUACAUCAAAAAACAAAAAAAACAAAAAGAAAAAACAAAGAAAGAGCCCAAGAUGAUGAAUAGUAAUCCUUUUGGGUUUCGUCUCACAAGAAGCAGAACAUUUAUCAUAUGUUUUGUUUUCUUUUUUUUUCCCUUCUGAUUUUUAUUGAUGAAACUGAAAAAACAUACAAGAUGAAAUCCAAAUGCCAGCGGAUACGACUUAAAAUCCCUGAAAUCCCUGGAAACAUAGCCCACAACAGGGGAUCGCAAACCCAAACAAGUGAACAACGGGUGACAUACAACAACUACUAAGAUCACUAGAUUAAUCUUCACUCUUACAUCCAAACCCGUGAACAAUCCUUGGUAGUGAGAAUAGAGAUGAUACCUAUUGGCUUUGAUCAGCCGGAUCUCUUCCGAGAGCCAGACAAGAGAGAGUAAGCGAUGCAAUGGCCUUCACAACUACGACACCAGACCAAACUUACAUGAACCUUCAGUUCCAUGAACCAAGCCAGAACCACAAUGUCUAACACCAAAAACCAACUCAAGAAGCAAACAAACGCCUUACACUAAAGCUCCCUUCUCAACUGAACCUUCAUCGGAAAAUCUAAAGGCCUCAACCUCUUUAUAAUGCUUCAACUAACAGAAGCCACCGAGGACGAGAGAGGCAAAUGACAAUCCGGUAGACACACUUAUUCAAAGGACAGGAGAAGAGCUCAUAACAGAGAGAUGGAGGCGACCAGAACCAUGAAUCUUCUCUUCUCAAAGGUGUUAGACCUGCUCUGCUCACCACACACCACUACACCGUCAACACAUGACCGCACCAUCAACACACCACCGCUUAAACCGUUGCUGAAACAAAAACCAAGAGGACAAACACUAAAACCCAACAAGAACGCCUCAGAUUUUCAACCUCUCUGACAAGGAACAUACGACAGAUGGGAUAAAAAGAUGAAGCACAAGCCAAGACGAAGCAAACGAACAAGGCUGACACAAAACAUGACCAUCUGCACCAGAAAUCUAAAAGGGAAACAACUCAAGAUCUGUAGAUCUAACAGAUUCAAACCCCAAAAUUUCUAGAUCUGUUAACAGACAAAAAGGAGAUGAUGAGAGAGGUGAAGAGAAAACGAAAUACAAGAGGACGAGUCACUCCGGUGGCGGCGAGGAGCGCCCACCACCGGAGAAAGCAACGAAAGACUGGCUGCUAAAGUUUCAAUGGCUUAGUGGUAAAUGUCCUAUAUAUAUAUCAUACUAACUCUGGUUCGAUUCUCACCUUCGCAUUGUUUUUCUAUUUUUUGCGAAAAAUAAAUGAAAUGACAUGGCAAUUUCGGGUUUUCUGAUUGGUUGAUUUUUCUAUCUUAUGUGGACACUCUCUCCAUGGCUUAUAUCCUCCUUUUAGUAUAGUAUAGAUGGUCGGAAUAGUCAAUGACCAACUUAUGUGUGCCUUUUUCAGUGAGCACUAAACUCUCCAAAAACAGAUUUUGUUUUGCCUCUUAGAUGAUGACGAGUAUUGAGUACAUAUGUCAUAUUCACUGCAAUACUAGUAUACUAUCUUUCCAACCCAGACAAGUCAUAAUAUUAGUCUUAAAAUUAAGAAUAAACAAAAACAAAUUAUUUAAAUUGAAUCGUAUGUAGCUUUGGGUGAUAGUAAUUCAGCUAAGGUCUUUUUUACGUCUCUUCUUUUGGUUUAAUGUUUGUGUUUAGUUUUAGCUGUAUGGUGUUGACCUCCUUAUUAUAGGUGCAUCCAGAUUUUGAGUUAUGGUUUUUGUAAAUGGCUACCACUAAAUGAAAAUAGAGAAAUUUCACCCAAUAACUCACCAAAAAACCAAAAUUAACAAACUAACCAAAAUCACCUUCUCUUUCUUCUUUUCUUUUCCUAUCUCUCUCUACCCUCUUUCUAAAAAACUAAUUUUGAUAUUUGUUUUGGUUAUUUCACAAAUAACCCCAUGAAUAUAUGACCCACAAAACAAAAUCAUGGAAUUUUGUUUCCCUGAUUAUUUUUUUUCCAAUUUAUACGCAACGUCAGAUCCGUGCACUACUAUCUAUAACAUCGACAUUCGCUUAAAUUUUUUGAAAGUUAUAUAAGAUUUUCCAAAAUUGUGAAAUUACUUUUAUUGAAGUAUUUAAGAAAUGUUUGUAACCUGGAAAUCUUAAAUCCGGCCAUGUUUACAAGCAUUUUUUAAUUACCACUAAAAAAAUAGUGUUUCAUCUCCAUUCCUCAAAAAUUCUCUGUUUAAUCUCUUUUAUUCAUUUUCUUUUUUAUUUGUUUUCUAUUUUUGGUAGCCACCAACCGAAAAACUCUCAUAUUCAUACAAUCGAUUUAGUAGUGGACACGAGACAUCUAACUACCGCCCAUUUUAUAAGGCCAUCUCUACCUAACUCUUCAAUAAUUCUACUUUCCGAACAGUGGAUCUUGGAUCCUUCUAAUCCAAUAUCUCUCUGAAGAUAUCACAUGGACACGAACCUAGAAUCGAUCCAAGUAUGAAGUAUAAGAACUUAAGAACAUCUGAAUAUGUAUGCUGCUCUUAUAUAUUGAUUCUCCUCUUAAGAACUUAAAAAUUUGCCAGAUCUUCAUCAAAGAAAACCGUGUCUAGUGAUCCAAUAUAAUGUUUUUGUCUGUCUUCA